GUUUUGUAUUUAAUUUACAAAAAUUUUAUUUAGAUAUUUCAUCUGUUAAUUAUUAACACUAUUGCAUUUACAGGCCGACCGCUACGUAGGAAGACACUUGGUACACAUUCUGAUCGGUUGCGACGCUAGAUCAAUGAUUGGGGUAGAUUACUCGUUACUUUUCGUCAGAGUGAUGGGCAUCCCAUUGGUCAAAACACAGCUUCAUUUAUAACCAAGUUAGGCCUCUCGGUGAAGAAGUUUGCUCCUUUACAAGCUAAGAGUUGGAAACACACCCCCGCUGAGAAUAAAAGGAUGAUAUACGAUCGACUAUCAGUAAGUAUAAGUAAUUUAACAUAUUUAUAACCACUCCUUUAUUACUAACCAUGUGCAAAAUAAAUUUAUUUUUUUAGACUACUUUUGAUAUAAGUUUUCAGGAGGGUUCUUCGUUGGUCAUGAAAGAGAUCAUUCGAUUGAUGAGUGCAUGAUAUAAAGACAAUAGAACUAAAAUGCAUAACCAUUAUAAGAAGUUAUCGCACCUUCCUCCUACUGAGCGCUGACAGCAUAUUCCGAUUGAGUUCUGUAUGACUCAAGAUGAUUGGGACUACAUGUAUGCUUUGUUUGAAUAUGAGGCAUUUCAGAAAUGAUAUGCAAUAAAUACUGAAAUUGAGAAAAACUCCCAUAUAACCAUCACGGAGGUUCUAAAUCAUUCAUCCAGUAUAGUUACGACGGUACCAAUCAGUCACAAAGAAAAGAUCGGAUUACUGUCUUUAAUAAAACUCAUUAUACUUCGAAGAAAUGGUGGAUUGGGAACACAACAAAAACUGCAUAUGAUGAUAUGGUGAGACUACGUGAUGAGUGUAUUCGAUCACAAAAUCCGGAAGAGGGCAUCGAUGUAGUCCAAGUUACAGAUACAGUUUGUGAUCAGGCCCGCGACAAUAUUGUUUAAUAACCGAAGAUACAGUUUACACUUUUUUUUAUAGUAAUCUGUAGUUUCUUUUGAAGAAACUUAUAGACUUCCAUAACUAUCUUAUCUGCUAGUGAAGAGUGGUUUGUUUCACAUAGUGCAUAAAUAUGUACAAUCAUUUUAUAUCCUUUUAAAGUU